UUGCCGCUUCGUUCAAUGGUAGGACGCCAGACUUUGAAUCUGGAGAUGAUGGUUCGAUCCCAUCAGUGGCUGCCAA
rnacentral:tRNA from 2 species